rnacentral:tRNA from 1 species
GUCAAGAUGGCCGAGUUAGUCUAGGGCGCCAGUUUCAGGUACUGGUCCGAAAGGGCGUGGGUUCAAAUUCCACUCUUGACA